UCCCUGGUAGUCUAGUGGUUAAGACUCUGCCCUCCCAAUGCAGGGGGCCUGGGUUCAAUCCCCAGUCAGGGAA